UACAGAGGUCCCAAGCGUUGUUCGGAUUCACUGGGCGUAAAGGGUGCGUAGGCGGUCGGGUAAGUCUGAUGUGAAAUCUCACAGCUUAACUGUGAAACUGCAUUGGAUACUAUCCGGCUCGAGGAAUGGAGGGGAGACUGGAAUACUUGGUGUAGCAGUGAAAUGCGUAGAUAUCGUGAGGAACACCAGAGGCGAAGGCGGCUACCUGGACAAUUGCUGACGCUCAGGCACGAAAGCGUGGGGAGCAAAAGGG
rnacentral:rRNA from 1 species